CAUCUCCCAGCCAGGCUGGGGCCUGGGCCUGCCAUUCCUGAGAAGAUUUCUCCUUUGAAUCGGCAGGGAGCCGGGCUUAGCUGCCCGUUCUGUUGUGGGAGGAGGAAGCAGGGGCUGCUGACCCAGCUUUGGUCUAGCCAAGGCCCCAGCAGAGGAGGGCUCUGUUUGGUGUGGCCAGUGGGCAUCCAUGUCUCUGAAUCAGGUGACUUGGGUAUUGGUUUGUGUCCCUGUCUGCCACUUUCUGGCUGUGUGCCUUUGAGCAACUUCACGUCUCUGACCUCAGGGUCUUCUGGAAAACAGCUAAUGCCUGCCCCGGGGGUGAGGAUUCAAAUUAAGUGAGCGGUGCCUGGCCCUUGGAAAGCUCCCUGAGCCACAGCAAAGUUGGUGGGUUGCUCCUUGAUCCUGUAAUGAUGCGGGAUCAGUAAGCAAGGGGCGACCUCUUCCUGGCAGACCCCGUGUCUUGGUAUCAGGGCUGACAGGGACCGACACCCAUCCAGAAGCCCCAAGUGUCCCAUGGCCAGGGUCCUCAUCUACAUCGAUUGGACUGAGGGUUGACCUCUGGGCCUCACAGGCCUGGGCUCUCCCAGGCCAUCCCAGCUUGUCCCCGGCACAAAGAGAUCAAGGCCUUGUGGACAACCCCACCAUCCUCCUGUAUCCAUCCAUCCAACGGGGCCUGGGGACUUCAAGGGAACAAGAAAGUCCAGAGAGAGCGCCAACAGACGCUUGGUGGUCGGGGAUUGGCUGGUGUCCUUGGCUGAUUUCCGGGAAGAGCUGCAAAUUCCUAGCAGCGGAGAUUCCUGAAGAGCCGAGGUGUCAGCCUGGGCAGCAGGCAUGGCCAGUGGGUGCGCGCGUGCCAGGCGCAGAGCGGAAGGCCUGCCGCCGCACCCUCCCCAGGGGCCGUGCUGCGCCGGGAGCCUUGCCAAGGAGUCCAG
rnacentral:lncRNA from 1 species